rnacentral:rRNA from 1 species
GUGCCAGCAGCCGCGGUAAUACGGAGGGCGCAAGCGUUGUUCGGAAUCAUUGGGCGUAAAGCGCGUGUAGGCGGCUUGGCAAGUCGAGUGUGAAAGCCCGGGGCUCAACCCCGGAAGGUCGCUCGAAACUGCCUCGCUCGAGUCCCGGAGAGGAAGGCGGAAUUCCCGGUGUAGAGGUGAAAUUCGUAGAUAUCGGGAGGAACACCAGCGGCGAAGGCGGCCUUCUGGACGGUGACUGACGCUGAGACGCGAAAGCGUGGGGAGCAAACAGGAUUAGAUACCCCCGUAGUCC